AAGUCGUAACAAGGUUUCCGUAGGUGAACCUGCGGAAGGAUCAUUAUCACGUUGCAAAACACUUAUCAACCUUGCGUGCACUCGGUUCCUUCAGAAUACUAUUUGGGUUUGGUGGUUUGUGGGUUGUUUGUUGAAGUGGUUUGGAACACCCGCCAUCUUUGGAUUGACAGUCAGUCAUUCAUUUGGUUGAUUGUUCAUUCCAGCCCUGUUCUGAAGAGCUGUUUUUUGCGGUACCACCUCAGCCGCGUCUUGUUUCACCUUUUUCCUUUUUAAACCCCUGUACGAUUCAUGAACUGAUUUGGUUCUUGUCUGAUCAUUCAGUUGAUCGGUGAAAGAAUUCACUUACAAAAACAUCAAAACAACUCUUAACAACGGAUAUCUUGGUUCCC
rnacentral:misc_RNA from 1 species